rnacentral:rRNA from 1 species
UGGUACCGUCAAAUAAUACGGGUAUUAACCGUAGUACACUUCUUCCCAUCUGACAGAGCUUUACGACCCAAGGCCUUCCUCACUCACGCGGCGUCGCUGCGUCAGGGUUUCCCCCAUUGCGCAAUAUUCC